UGAACGCUAGCGGUAUGCCUAACACAUGCAAGUCGUACGAGAGUUUUUAACUCUAGUGGCGGACGGGUGAGUAACACGUGAGAAUUUACCUUUAGGAGGGGGAUAACAAUUGGAAACGAAUGCUAAUACCCCAUAUGCUUUCGAGUGAAAUGGAUUUAUAAUUAUCCGCCUAGAGAGAAGCUCGCGGCUGAUUAGCUUGUUGGUAAGGUAAGAGCUUACCAAGGCGACGAUCAGUAUCUGGUUUGAGAGGACGAUCAGACACACUGGAACUGAGACACGGUCCAGACUCCUACGGGAGGCAGCAGUGGGGAAUUUUCCGCAAUGGGCGAAAGCCUGACGGAGCAAUACCGCGUGAGGGAAGACUGCCUAUGGGUUGUAAACCUCUUUUUUCAGGGAGGAAUAAAAUGACGUGUACCUGAAGAAUAAGCAUCGGCUAACUCC
rnacentral:rRNA from 1 species